GCGAAUGGCUCAUUAAAUCAGCUAUGGUUUAUUGGAUCGUACCUGUCAGAUGGAUAACUGUAAUAACUCUAGAGCUAAUACAUGCCUUGAUGCCCUGACCUGCAAAGGGAUGGGUGCACUUAUUAGACUAGAAGCCAACCGUGUACUGCCGUAAGGUGGUGCGCGUUGUGUUUCUGGUGACUCUGGAUAAUUGUUACAGAUCGCAUUCGGCCUUGAGCCGGCGACGGGUCCUUCAAAUGUCUGCCCUAUCAACUGUCGAUGGUAGGUGACCUGCCUACCAUGGUGAUAACGGGUAACGGGGAAUCAGGGUUCGAUUCCGGAGAGGGAGCCUGAGAAACGGCUACCACUUCCAAGGGAGGCAGCAGGCGCGCAACUUACCCACUCCCGGCACGGGGAGGUGGUGACGAAAAAUAUCGAUGCGGGACUCUUUAAGAGGCCCCGUAAUCGGAAUGAGUGAACUAUAAAUCCUUUGACGAGGAUCAAUUGGAGGGCAAGUCUGGUGCCAGCAGCCGCGGUAACUCCAGCUCCAAUAGCGUAUAUUAAAGUUGCUGCAGUUAAAAAGCUCGUAGUUGGAUCUCGGUAGCACUGAGGCCUGUCGUUGGUGUGCAGUAUGGCUAUUGAUGCAUGGGCGCUGCCUGUGUCGUCGUGGUCGGCUGUUGCAACUCGGCAUGGCGUUGGUGUCGCCUUUCAGCCAUGUCUGUGGUGCAAUACCCACAGGUGUAGGCGAGUGUCAGGCGGUGCUUUGCGACAGCAAGGUCCGUCGGCUCGUUUGCAUGCCUUCGGAUGCCCUUCAAAAGGUGUCCGCGGGCGGAUGGCACGUUUACUUUGAACAAAUUUGAGUGCUCAAACCAGGCCGCAGUUGCCUGAAAAGUUUUGCAUGGAAUAAUGGAAUAGGACUUCGGUUCUAUUUUGUUGGUUUUCGGAUCCGAAGUAAUGAUCAAAAGAGACAGGCGGGGACGUUUGUAUGGCUGCGCUAGAGGUGAAAUUCAUGGACCGUAGCCAGACAAACUAAAGCGAAAGCAUUCGUCAAGCAUGUUUUCAUUGACCAUGAGCGAAAGUCAGAGGCUCGAAGACGAUCAGAUACCGUCCUAGUUCUGACCAUAAACGAUGCCAACUGACGAUCCGUGGUGGUAGUCUAUUCACCUUCCCCACGGGCAGCCCCCGGGAAACCAUUAAGUCUUUGGGUUCCGGGGGAAGUAUGGUUGCAAAGCUGAAACUUAAAGGAAUUGACGGAAGGGCACCACCAGGAGUGGAGCCUGCGGCUUAAUUUGACUCAACACGGGAAAACUCACCCGGGCCGGACACUAUGAGGAUUGACAGAUUGAUAGCUCUUUCUUGAUUCAGUGGUUGGUGGUGCAUGGCCGUUCUUAGUUGGUGGAGCGAUUUGUCUGGUUAAUUCCGAUAACGAACGAGACUCUGGCCUGCUAAUUAGUGCGUCUGUCCACUGUUCCUGUGUAGGCGGCGUUCAACACGGCUGCUUCCUUUCGCUGUUGUAGGCUUGGCGGUCCUUUCGGGGGUCGUCAGGUUUGCAAUGGUUGGUGGUGGCUUGCUUGGCGUUAGCUUCCGGGUACGGCGCGGAUGUUUACUUCUUAGAGGGACAAUCGGAAUAAACCGCACGAGAUAGAGCAAUAACAGGUCUGUGAUGCCCUUAGAUGUCCGGGGCCGCACGCGCGCUACAAUGACGGUGGCAACGAGUCAGACCUUCUGGCCCGAAAGGGUUGGACAAACUGGUCAAUCACCGUCAUGACAGGGAUCGGGGCUUGUAAUUGUUCCCCGUGAACGAGGAAUUCCUAGUAAGUGCAAGUCAUAAGCUUGCGCUGAUUACGUCCCUGCCCUUUGUACACACCGCCCGUCGCUACUACCGAUUGAAUGGUUUAGUGAGGUCCUUGGAUCGGCGCCAUUGUGGCUAUUGCCGAAAGGUGAUAGUCCGACGUGUGCUGAGAAGACGACCUAACUUGAUCAUUUAGAGGAAGUAAAAGUCGUAACAAG
rnacentral:rRNA from 1 species